AGAGUUUGAUCAUGGCUCAGAUUGAACGCUGGCGGCAUGCUUUANACAUGCAAGUCGAACGGCAGCACAGGGAGCUUGCUCCCGGGUGGCGAGUGGCGCACGGGUGAGUAAUACAUCGGAACGUGUCCUGUUGUGGGGGAGUAACUGCUCGAAAGGGUGGCUAAUACCGCAUGAGACCUGAGGGUGAAAGCGGGGAUCGCAAGACCUCGCGCAAUUGGAGCGGCCGAUGCCCGAUUAGCUAGUUGGUGAGGUAAAGGCUCACCAAGGCGACGAUCGGUAGCUGGUCUGAGAGGACGACCAGCCACACUGGGACUGAGACACGGCCCAGACUCCUACGGGAGGCAGCA
rnacentral:rRNA from 1 species